GCUGGAUUUUCUCACUGUGUUGAAGACAUAUUGUUUGCAUUUGACUGUUUUCUGCUCUUUGUCAGGUUGUUGUCUCUUUGACACAUUCAUGAUUUCCAUUCUCAAUUUUACAAAUAACUUGUUUUUAAAAUAUCUGCCUGUCAUUGCUACAUGUCCUUAGAAAUGAGGACUAUUGUACAAUGAAAAAAGUAGAAAGGUUCUAUGAUGGGAAUCAUU
rnacentral:lncRNA from 1 species